rnacentral:rRNA from 1 species
GACGAACGCUGGCGGCGUGCUUAACACAUGCAAGUCGAACGGGUCUGCCCUGUUUUUUGCGGGGUGGGUCAGUGGCGAACGGGUGAGUAACACGUGAGUAACCUGCCCCUCACUUCUGGAUAACCGCUUGAAAGGGUGGCUAAUACGGGGUGUUCUGGCUGUGCCGCAUGGUGUGGCUGGGAAAGAUUCACUUUUGUGGUGUUUUGGUGGGGGAUGGGCUCGCGGCCUAUCAGCUUGUUGGUGGGGUGAUGGCCUGCCAAGGCUUUGACGGGUAGCCGGCCUGAGAGGGUGGGCGGUCACACUGGGACUGAGAUACGGCCCAGACUCCUGCGGGAGGCAGCAGUGGGGGGUAUUGCACAAUGGGCGGAAGCCUGAUGCAGCGACGUCGCGUGAGGGAUGGAGGCCUUCGGGUUGGGAACCUCUUUCGCCGGUGAAGAAGGUCCUGCUCUUUGUGGUGGGGUUGACGGUAGCCGGGUUAUGAAGCGCCGGCUAACUACGU